GUAAAAUACUCCUCCCACUAAACUAAAUUAUUAUUUUUUGGCUAAAAACUAUCUGGACCCUCGCUGCCUCUUGUUCUAGAUCACUGUAAGUAUUGUUAUUAUUUUGCUGGUGGAAACAGACCCAUUCCGUCACGUGAAUCCGGGGCGGGAAAGUUCAACGAACCAGGACCGGGAGGGGGCGAGCACGUCUCCACUUAUAUAUAACCCGCGACCCCGGCCCGAUCACACCAUUCGACUCCACGCAAUCGCCUCGUUCACACACAGUGAUCAGCUCACCCACAGACCAGACCACCCCGGAACGCAACAGAGCAGAGGAUGCUGCUGAACCCGGCAUCGGAGGCGCUGGUGCUGGACAGCAUCAGGCAGCACCUCAUGGAGGACACGGCGGCCGCGGCGCCGGCGCUGGCGGAGGCGAGGAGGCAGAGGCCGGCCUACUGCCGGAGCGCCAGCUUCGGAAGCCUGGUGGCGGACCAGUGGAGCGAGUCGCUCCCGUUCCGCGCCGACGACUCGGACGACAUGGUCGUCUACGGCGCCCUCCGCGACGCCUUCUCCUGCGGCUGGCUCCCCGACGGCUCCUUCGCCGCCGUCAAGCCGGAGCCCCUCCCUUCCCCGGAGUCCUGCUACGGCGGUUUCCUCUACCCGGACACGCCUCCGGCCACGUCUGCCGGCGACGGCGAGGGCGACGGCGAGGAGGAGGAGCCCGCGGCGCUCAUGGGCGAGGCGGCGGCCGCGGCCGUGGCCAGGGGGAAGCACUACCGCGGGGUGAGGCAGCGGCCGUGGGGCAAGUUCGCGGCGGAGAUCCGGGACCCGGCCAAGAACGGCGCGCGCGUGUGGCUCGGCACCUACGACACCGCCGAGGACGCCGCCGUCGCCUACGACCGCGCCGCGUACCGCAUGCGCGGCUCCCGCGCGCUCCUCAACUUCCCGCUCCGCAUCGGCUCCGAGAUCGCCGCCGCCCACGCCGCAGCCGCGGCCGCCGGCGACAAGCGUCCGUCCCCCGAGCCGGCGACCUCUGACUCGUCCUCCUCGUCCGGGUCCCCGAAAAGGAGGAAGAGGGGCGAGGCCGCGGCCGCGUCCAUGGCCAUGGCGCUGGUGCCGCCGCCCUCCCAGCUGAGCCGGCCGGCCCAGGCGUGGUACCCCCGCCGCGCCGGCCGAGCAGGUGGCCAUGGCGCCGCGCGUGCAGCAGCUGGUCAGCUAGGCGACCCCGCUCGCCAGCCUAACGGCGCUCGAUCGUAAAAGACAAUGUGCAAGUGCAUGGAUGCGACAGCAACGGGAGCCCGCCUUUCACUGUUGCGCGGUGCAAGGUGGCGAUGGCAAUGGAGUGCGAUGGCGAGCGAGCAGUGCAAUCAGGCAAAGCGACCUCAGCGACGGCUCCAUUUGGAUAUCUGGAUGGGUCGAGGAUGGAAGAUAAGCUUGGAGCAACUGCUGGGUGCUGCAAUUUGGCCUGGAAUGAUAGAUAUUUCCUGCUCUCUCUGUUAGUGCUCGGUGCAUGCGACUCGCCCAAGUGGAUCAAAGCGGAACCGUGCUAGUAUCGGGGUCGGCGUGGUUCCUUCUGAGUCGUAGGGUUAUAUUUGCGUCACUGUCCGUGUGCGUGUGGUAAAAAUUACACCCUUGUGAUCGAAUUCGAGCAUAAUGGAAGUUGUGAACCCGUA